ACGAACGCUGGCGGCGCGCCUAACACAUGCAAGUCGAACGGAGAAUAUAGACGGAAGUUUUCGGACGGAAGGCUGUAGACUUAGUGGCGGACGGGUGAGUAACACGUGAGCAACCUGCCCUAGAGAGGGGGAUAACGUCUGGAAACGGACGCUAAUACCGCAUAACAUCACACUUUCGCAUGGGAGAGUGAUCAAAGGAGGAAUCCGCUUUAGGAUGGGCUCGCGUCCGAUUAGAUAGUAGGCGGGGUAACGGCCCACCUAGUCGACGAUCGGUAGCCGGACUGAGAGGUUGAACGGCCACAUUGGGACUGAGACACGGCCCAGACUCCUACGGGAGGCAGCAGUGGGGGAUAUUGCACAAUGGGGGAAACCCUGAUGCAGCGACGUCGCGUGAGGGAAGACGGUUUUCGGAUUGUAAACCUCUGGCUUUGGGGACGAAGAAGAUGACGGUACCCAAGGAGGAAGCCACGGCUAACUACGUGCCAGCAGCCGCGGUAAUACGUAGGUGGCAAGCGUUGUCCGGAAUUACUGGGUGUAAAGGGAGCGUAGGCGGGAAGGCAAGUUGAAUGUUAAAUCUACCGGCUCAACCGGUAGUCGCGUUCAAAACUGUUUUUCUUGAGUGAAGUAGAGGUAGGCGGAAUUCCUAGUGUAGCGGUGAAAUGCGUAGAUAUUAGGAGGAACACCAGUGGCGAAGGCGGCCUACUGGGCUUUUACUGACGCUGAGGCUCGAAAGCAUGGGUAGCAAACAGGAUUAGAUACCCUGGUAGUCCAUGCCGUAAACGAUGAUUACUAGGUGUGGGGGGUUUGACCCCCUCCGUGCCGCAGUCAACACAAUAAGUAAUCCACCUGGGGAGUACGACCGCAAGGUUGAAACUCAAAGGAAUUGACGGGGGCCCGCACAAGCAGUGGAGUAUGUGGUUUAAUUCGAAGCAACGCGAAGAACCUUACCAGGUCUUGACAUCCUGAGAAUCCGACAGAGAUGUUGGAGUGCCUUCGGGAACUCAGAGACAGGUGGUGCAUGGUUGUCGUCAGCUCGUGUCGUGAGAUGUUGGGUUAAGUCCCGCAACGAGCGCAACCCCUAUUGCUAGUUGCUACAUUUAGUUGAGCACUCUAGCGAGACUGCCGUUGACAAAACGGAGGAAGGUGGGGAUGACGUCAAAUCAUCAUGCCCCUUAUGACCUGGGCUACACACGUACUACAAUGGCCGUAAACAGAGGGAAGCGAAAUCGCGAGGUGGAGCAAACCCCUAAAAACGGUCCCAGUUCAGAUUGCAGGCUGAAACUCGCCUGUAUGAAGGCGGAAUUGCUAGUAAUCGCAGGUCAGCAUACUGCGGUGAAUACGUUCCCGGGCCUUGUACACACCGCCCGUCACACCAUGAGAGCCGGUAACACCCGAAGUCAGUAGUCUAACCGCAAGGAGGGCGCUGCCGAAGGUGGGAUUGGUAAUUAGGGUG
rnacentral:rRNA from 1 species